rnacentral:rRNA from 1 species
CGAAAGCGUGGGUAGCAAACAGGAUUAGAUACCCUGGUAGUCCACGCCGUAAACGAUGUCUACUAGUCGUUGGGUCCCUUGAGGACUUAGUGACGCAGCUAACGCAAUAAGUAGACCGCCUGGGGAGUACGGCCGCAAGGUUAAAACUCAAAUGAAUUGACGGGGGCCCGCACAAGCGGUGGAGCAUGUGGUUUAAUUCGAUGCAACGCGAAGAACCUUACCUGGUCUUGACAUACACAGAAUCUUGUAGAGAUACGAGAGUGCCUUCGGGAAUUGUGAUACAGGUGCUGCAUGGCUGUCGUCAGCUCGUGUCGUGAGAUGUUGGGUUAAGUCCCGCAACGAGCGCAACCCUUGUCCUUAGUUACCAGCACUUCGGGUGGGAACUCUAAGGAUACUGCCAGUGACAAACUGGAGGAAGGCGGGGACGACGUCAAGUCAUCAUGGCCCUUACGACCAGGGCUACACACGUGCUACAAUGGUAGGUACAGAGGGCAGCUACACAGCGAUGUGAUGCGAAUCUCAAAAAGCCUAUCGUAGUCCAGAUUGGAGUCUGCAACUCGACUCCAUGAAGUAGGAAUCGCUAGUAAUCGCGGAUCAGAAUGCCGCGGUGAAUACGUUCCCGGGCCUUGUACACACCGCCCGUCACACCAUGGGAGUUGAUUGCACCAGAAGUGGUUAGCCUAACUUAGUGAGGGCGAUCACCACGGUGUGGUCGAUGACUGGGGUGAAGUCGUAACAAGGUAGCCGUAGGGGAACCUGCGGCUG